CCGUAGCCUGGUAGCGGGGGAUAACUAUUGGAAACGAUAGCUAAUACCGCAUAACAGUAGAUAUCGCAUGAUAGCUGCUUGAAAGGUGCAAUUGCACCACUACCAGAUGGACCUGCGUUGUAUUAGCUAGUUGGUGAGGUAACGGCUCACCAAGGCAACGAUACAUAGCCGACCUGAGAGGGUGAUCGGCCACACUGGGACUGAGACGCGGCCCAG
rnacentral:rRNA from 1 species